UACAGAGGUCUCAAGCGUUGUUCGGAUUCAUUGGGCGUAAAGGGUGCGUAGGCGGCGCGGUAAGUCGGGUGUGAAAUCUCGGGGCUUAACUCCGAAACUGCAUUCGAUACUGCCGUGCUUGAGGACUGGAGAGGAGACUGGAAUUUACGGUGUAGCGGUGAAAUGCGUAGAUAUCGUAAGGAAGACCAGUGGCGAAGGCGGGUCUCUGGACAGU
rnacentral:rRNA from 1 species